rnacentral:rRNA from 1 species
GAUGAACGCUGGCGGCGUGCCUAAUACAUGCAAGUCGAGCGAACGGACGAGAAGCUUGCUUCUCUGAUGUUAGCGGCGGACGGGUGAGUAACACGUGGAUAACCUACCUAUAAGACUGGGAUAACUUCGGGAAACCGUAGCUAAUACCGGAUAAUAUUUUGAACCGCAUGGUUCAAAAGUGAAAGACGGUCUUGCUGUCACUUAUAGAUGGAUCCGCGCUGCAUUAGCUAGUUGGUAAGGUAACGGCUUACCAAGGCAACGAUGCAUAGCCGACCUGAGAGGGUGAUCGGCCACACUGGAGCUGAAACACGGUCCAGGCUCCUACGGGAGGCAGCAGUAGGGAAUCUUCCGCAAUGGGCGAAAGCCUGACGGAGCAACGCCGCGUGAGUGAUGAAGGUCUUCGGAUCGUAAAACUCUGUUAUUAGGGAAGAACAUAUGUGUAAGUAACUGUGCACAUCUUGACGGUACCUAAUCAGAAGGCCACGGCUAACUACGUG